CGGAAGACUCAGAGGUCCGAACCGUGCUUCGCUUCUCUUAAAGGGCGUGCACAUGGGUUCCGUACAGUGGAGCGUGUCCUUAUCAAAGAAAUGUUUACGGACAUGUUCUUCCUGAUUUUUCACUAAAGCUACAAAACGAAAUGGGCACGCCAACCCAAACGUCACUCGGCGUCCACUCCUAGCUGAGAGGAGGCCUCAUCGAGGGAGAUCAAUUCCAAACAUUCAUUUGCAACCUCCUUGUAUCCCUGGGUCUAAGGUGAGUUUCUUGUAUAUAGUAUAUAGAUGGAUCAUAUUUCCUUAUCCAUUCUGCCAA
rnacentral:lncRNA from 1 species